UACAGCGGGAAGCCAUAUGGCGACAUAGAGCGGAACCCGAAAACCUGUCUCAGUUCGGAUUGGAGUCUGCAACCCGACUCCAUGAAGCUGGAUUCGCUAGUAAUCGCGCAUCAGCCACGGCGCGGUGAAUACGUUCCCGGGCCUUGUACACACCGCCCGUCAAGCCAUGGAAGCCGGGAGUGCCUGAAGUGCGUGAGCGCAAGCAGCGCCCUAAGGUAAAACCGGUGACUGGGGCUAAGUCGUAACAAGGUAUC
rnacentral:rRNA from 1 species